CACAUCAAAAAGUGUUUUAGCCGAGAAAUAUUACUUUUGAAACAAGCCUAAAUCAUUUUACGUACCUUGCUUUCACAAUUGUUUCAACAGUUCUUUUUCCUGUGGACUUAGUUGACCAUACUGAGUAUCAACACUUCUGGUCACCUGUCCGUCAGCUAUUAUCACUAGAACAUGGUAUUGCCCACCACUUUGCUUAACAAUAGUAAUGGCCAUUUCAAU
rnacentral:misc_RNA from 1 species